CGAAACAAGCUAAAGCCUAUUGAUUCACGAGAGAAAUCAACAUUAUUGUGAAUACUACACGUAUGAAAUAGUGGGUAAACAAAAUUUCUCAGGAUGUGGUGUGCAGUUACAUGUCAUCAUUAAGAGGAUGAAGAAAUCAACUUUGUUACAGGACACAGAAACAAGAUGAACAGAAGUCAUGCAGUUUUUACCAGACACAAGAAUUUAAUAUGAUAGACUACAUUGUGAAUACUUGGACCCUGCUGUUCACAGGGACAUAAAUAGAAUUCUGUCCCCAGUGUAAAAACAAG